CUGCUCCAGCACCCCUGGGCCGUGCACCCCGGUCCCUACCAGGUGAGGAUCUAGCUCCACUCCUGCUCGCCUGCCGGGCGGUAGAGACCUCGAAAUGAAGACAACCUGAGUUCUGCAAUAUUGGGCCUGCCGCCUACCCUCGCUGAGCCUCAGUUUGCUGGCCCCGCUGGUCCAUGAAGUGGGCGUGGUCACGAAGCGUCCUAUCGCCUUCGGGCUCAAAGUCAGGGGCCACUGCCCCUUUCAGACCGCUGUUUAACGACUUUGGGCCACCUUCCAUGGGCUUUGUGCACGAGAUGAAGUCACCAGCACCCAGGGCUCCCAGAACACCCUACAAGGACCUGCUGUCGGUCAUAGAGGAGAUAAGCAAAGAGAUCCGGCCCACCUAUGCUGGCAGCAAGAGCACCAUGAAGGGCCUGAAGAGCGGUAUCAUCCAUGCCCGGGCCCUAGUCGGAGUGCGCCUGGCAGAGACAGAGUGGAGCGUCCGCACGAAACAGUAAGCCCCUCGGCCUCAGGGUCUGGACCUUUCCUGGCCAUUGCAGAGCACCCGCUUCUCCCUGGCCUUCAUCCCAAGCUGCACUAGCCAUCCUGGACUUCCUGUCCUGUGUCCCUUGGUGGGUGCCCUCCAGGAACCAAGGGGCGGCUCUCACUCGAGGUGGCAGCACUAACUAUGCCCCCACAAAAACAAGAGUUAGCAGCGAGGUCCCGGUGAAUGCCACCCAUGACCUGCCAACAGUGUUGCCCAGUGGAGCUUUCUGUGGCCCCACUACGCAGCUCUUCCCAGCACUUCUCCCACUUUGUCCUGAGCCUCCUUCUCUCCCAGCAGGGGCUCAGGCCUGGCACCUCUCUGCCCCAUGUCCUAGGCCAUAGUGACUCUUUUCUCAGUGUGUCUUUUGCUAAAUAUGCCCUUUUCAUAUUAAUAAAAGAUGAUUUGGA